rnacentral:rRNA from 1 species
UUGAUCCGAAGAUUUCCGAAUGAGGAAACUCACUUAGAGUAAUGUCUAAGUAUCAUUAAGUGAAUACAUAGCUUAAGGAGGGGAACUCAGGGAACUGAAACAUCUAAGUACCUGAAGGAAGAGAAAGAAAUUCGAUUCCGUAAGUAGCGGCGAGCGAACGCGGAUUAGCCCAAACCAAUAAAGUUUUCUUUAUUGGGGUUGCGG